GUCCUUAAUAUUACAAAAACAAAAGUUAAAGGUUGUAUCCUAUCAUAUGGCUGUCUACCUGGGUACACAAACUUCAACAGUCUGAAUGUCUCUUUUGUCUGCUGUGACACCAACCUCUGCAAUGCCAAAGAUGUUUCAGAGCCUGCUGUAAAUUCCAAUUCUCUCAUCCCCAAUGCAAUGCAAUGUUACACUUGUUACGGACAGAACUGCUCAACAACUAUCAUGAGCUGCUCAGGGAAUGAAGACCACUGCAUAACAGUAACAGAUAAUGUUGGAGGUCUACCAUUUACUACACAAGGCUGUGCCUCUAAAGCUGUUUGUGAUACCGCACUAUCAUAUCGUGGCCGGAGCAUCUGUUGUUCAGGGAAUCUGUGUAAUGGAGCUAAAAGUGAAACCCUGAAUCUCCUGUUUCUCUGCUUUUCUCUGAUCUCCUUCAUCCUGAUGCUCUGAAUCCAGAAGAUCAGAUUCAAUCAAAUGUACUUUAUAUGUAUGUAUGUAUAUAGCUGGUAGUUUUGCAGUAUUAUACAAUGCUCAGCAUAAAUGAGUAACACCCCUCACAGAUCUCUCUUUUAAAUUAAUAUUUUAUAUAAGAUGCUUUACAGAAAUAUAUCAGUGCAUGUAGCUUAAAUUUGACAGUACCAAAGCCAAAACCGGUACAAAUAACAAAAAAAUUUAAGACCACAAUCCAAAAAUUAGAACAUACAAAUAAAAAUGUU